UGGGGAAUAUUGCACAAUGGAGGGAACUCUGAUGCAGCGACGCCGCGUGAACGAAGAAGGCUUUCGAGUCGUAAAGUUCUUUUAUAUGGGAAGAUAAUGACGGUACCAUAAGAAAAAGCCCCGGCUAACUACGUGCCAGCAGCCGCGGUAAUACGUAGGGGGCUAGCGUUGUCCGGAAUCACUGGGCGUAAAGGGUUCGCAGGCGGAAAUGCAAGUCAGGUGUAAAAGGCAGUAGCUUAACUACUGUAAGCAUUUGAAACUGCAUAUCUUGAGAAGAGUAGAGGUAAGUGGCAUUUUUAGUGUAGCGGUGAAAUGCGUAGAUAUUAAAAAGAAUACCGGUGGCGAAGGCGACUUACUGGGCUCAUUCUGACGCUGAGGAACGAAAGCGUGGGUAGCAAACAGG
rnacentral:rRNA from 1 species